rnacentral:rRNA from 1 species
UACGUAGGGUGCGAGCGUUAAUCGGAAUUACUGGGCGUAAAGCGUGCGCAGGCGGUUUUGUAAGCCAGAUGUGAAAGCCCCGGGCUUAACCUGGGAAUGGCAUUUGGGACUGCAAGGCUGGAGUGUGGCAGAGGAGACUGGAAUUCCUGGUGUAGCAGUGAAAUGCGCAGAUAUCAGGAGGAACACCGGUGGCGAAGGCGGGUCUCUGGGCCGAUACUGACGCUGAGGAGCGAAAGCGUGGGGAGCGAACAGG